rnacentral:rRNA from 1 species
AUAUUGAACGCUGGCGGCAGGCCUAACACAUGCAAGUCGAACGGUAACAGGAAACAGCUUGCUGUUUCGCUGACGAGUGGCGGACGGGUGAGUAAUGUCUGGGAAACUGCCUGAUGGAGGGGGAUAACUACUGGAAACGGUAGCUAAUACCGCAUAACGUCGCAAGACCAAAGAGGGGGACCUUCGGGCCUCUUGCCAUCGGAUGUGCCCAGAUGGGAUUAGCUAGUAGGUGGGGUAACGGCUCACCUAGGCGACGAUCCCUAGCUGGUCUGAGAGGAUGACCAGCCACACUGGAACUGAGACACGGUCCAGACUCCUACGGGAGGCAGCAGUGGGGAAUAUUGCACAAUGGGCGCAAGCCUGAUGCAGCCAUGCCGCGUGUAUGAAGAAGGCCUUCGGGUUGUAAAGUACUUUCAGCGGGGAGGAAGGGAGUAAAGUUAAUACCUUUGCUCAUUGACGUUACCCGCAGAAGAAGCACCGGCUAACUCCGUGCCAGCAGCCGCGGUAAUACGGAGGGUGCAAGCGUUAAUCGGAAUUACUGGGCGUAAAGCGCACGCAGGCGGUUUGUUAAGUCAGAUGUGAAAUCCCCGGGCUCAACCUGGGAACUGCAUCUGAUACUGGCAAGCUUGAGUCUCGUAGAGGGGGGUAGAAUUCCAGGUGUAGCGGUGAAAUGCGUAGAGAUCUGGAGGAAUACCGGUGGCGAAGGCGGCCCCCUGGACGAAGACUGACGCUCAGGUGCGAAAGCGUGGGGGAGCAAACAGGAUUAGAUACCCUGGUAGUCCACGCCGUAAACGAUGUCGACUUGGAGGUUGUGCCCUUGAGGCGUGGCUUCCGGAGCUAACGCGUUAAGUCGACCGCCUGGGGAGUACGGCCGCAAGGUUAAAACUCAAAUGAAUUGACGGGGGCCCGCACAAGCGGUGGAGCAUGUGGUUUAAUUCGAUGCAACGCGAAGAACCUUACCUGGUCUUGACAUCCACGGAAGUUUUCAGAGAUGAGAAUGUGCCUUCGGGAACCGUGAGACAGGUGCUGCAUGGCUGUCGUCAGCUCGUGUUGUGAAAUGUUGGGUUAAGUCCCGCAACGAGCGCAACCCUUAUCCUUUGUUGCCAGCGGUCCGGCCGGGAACUCAAAGGAGACUGCCAGUGAUAAACUGGAGGAAGGUGGGGAUGACGUCAAGUCAUCAUGGCCCUUACGACCAGGGCUACACACGUGCUACAAUGGCGCAUACAAAGAGAAGCGACCUCGCGAGAGCAAGCGGACCUCAUAAAGUGCGUCGUAGUCCGGAUUGGAGUCUGCAACUCGACUCCAUGAAGUCGGAAUCGCUAGUAAUCGUGGAUCAGAAUGCCACGGUGAAUACGUUCCCGGGCCUUGUACACACCGCCCGUCACACCAUGGGAGUGGGUUGCAAAAGAAGUAGGUAGCUUAACCUUCGGGAGGGCGCUUACCACUUUGUGAU